GACGAACGCUGGCGGCGUGCUUAACACAUGCAAGUCGAACGAUGAAGCCGGAGCUUGCUCUGGUGAAUUAGUGGCGAACGGGUGAGUAACACGUGAGUAACCUGCCCUUGACUCUGGGAUAACUGCGGGAAACUGUAGCUAAUACCGGAUACUUUCACCGGGGGGCAUCCUCUGGUGAUGAAAGAAUUUCGGUCAAGGAUGAGCUCGCGGCCUAUCAGCUUGUUGGUGAGGUAGCGGCUCACCAAGGCGACGACGGGUAACCGGCCUGAGAGGGCGACCGGCCACACUGGGACUGAGAUACGGCCCAGACUCCUACGGGAGGCAGCAGUGGGGAAUAUUGCACAAUGGGCGCAAGCCUGAUGCAGCGACGCCGCGUGAGGGAUGACGGCCUUCGGGUUGUAAACCUCUUUCAGCACCGACGAAGCGCAAGUGACGGUAGGUGCAGAAGAAGGACCGGCCAACUACGUGCCAGCAGCCGCCGUAA
rnacentral:rRNA from 1 species